rnacentral:rRNA from 1 species
UACGUAGGGUGCGAGCGUUAAUCGGAAUUACUGGGCGUAAAGCGUGCGCAGGCGGUUCGUUGUGUCGGCGGUGAAAGCCCCGGGCUCAACCUGGGAAUGGCCGUUGAAACUGGCGAACUGGAGUGUGGCAGAGGGGGGUGGAAUUCCGCGUGUAGCAGUGAAAUGCGUAGAGAUCCGGAGGAACACCGACGGCGCAGGCAGCGUCCUGGCCGCUUGCUGACACUGAGGCACGAAAGCGUGGGGAGCAAACAGG